UACGUAGGGGGCAAGCGUUGUCCGGAUUUAUUGGGCGUAAAGAGCGUGUAGGCGGCCUGACAGGUCUGCUGUGAAAACUCGAGGCUCAACCUCGAGAUGUCGGCGGAAACCGUCUGGCUAGAGUCCGGAAGAGGAGAGUGGAAUUCCUGGUGUAGCGGUGAAAUGCGCAGAUAUCCGGAAGAACACCAAAGGCGAAGGCAGUGUCCUGGCUGGUUCCUGACGCUAAGGUGCGAAAGCUAGGGGAGCGAACGGG
rnacentral:rRNA from 1 species